CCUACGGGUGGCAGCAGUAGGGAAUAUUGCUCAAUGGGGGAAACCCUGAAGCAGCAACGCCGCGUGGAGGAUGAAGGUCUUCGGAAUGUAAACCCCUUUUGUUAGGGAAGAUAAUGACGGUAUCUAACGAAUAAGCACCGGCCAACUUCGUGCCAGCAGCCGCGGUAAUACGGAGGGUGCAAGCGUUACUCGGAAUCAGUGGGCGUAAAGAGCGCGUAGGCGGGAUAGCAAGUCAGAUGUGAAAUCCUAGGGCUUAACCAUAGAACUGCAUUUGAAACUGUUAUUCUAGAGUAUGGGAGAGGUAGGUGGAAUUCUUGGUGUAGGGGUGAAAUGCGUAGAGAUCAGGAGGAAUACUCAUUGCGAAGGCGGCCUGCUGGAACAUAACUGACGCUGAUGCGCGAAAGCGUGGGGAGCGAACAGGAUUAGAUACCCUAGUAGUC
rnacentral:rRNA from 1 species